UCCCAGGUCCACAACGUGCAGUUCUCCCUGGAGCUGAUGCAGGACGGAGGGCUGCCCAAACCCAAGGCCAGGCCCGAGGACAUCGUGAACCUUGACCUGAAGGCGACCUUGAGGGUUCUAUACAACCUCUUCACCAAGUACAAGCACCUCAACUGAGCAUGCUCCGUGACCUUCCAAGUACAAACACCUCAACUGAGCAUGCUCCGUGACCUUCCUAAUACA